rnacentral:lncRNA from 1 species
AAAAAUGCUGCAUGUGUAACACACAAAUAGUAGGUAUUAUAUUUUCUCUUCUAGGAGAACUGUUUACCCCAUGGCUUCCAAAUACUGCUUUUAAAGAAUUCCUGAACAGUAAAAUUUGGUUACAGAAUGAUCAGUUUCUGCUGUCUAAGAAGUCUAAUAAUUAAUCUUGUGGUAUACCAGGCAAGCUAAGUGUGUAGAGCAUGACCCCAAGGAAGGAAACACUCACAUUUGUAUAGCAGCUCCUGAGAAGAGGCAAGAAGAUGUUGGAUGACCAAGUUGAUUCUUGGGCUGACUCCAGUUGCACGUUUCUCCUGUGGUUUUCUAUAAACACUAUCUAGUCUGCAAGAAAGAGACAUGAUGGUGAGGGGAAGAAAUGUGUUGCACAGGGGAGGGGUGUGAAGACUGCUGUAUAUGGAAAGGAACCAAGGAGUAGGAAAGAUAGAGGAUCAUAGCAAUAGAGCUGAAAGUCACCUCAAAAGUUAUUUUGUAAUUCCUCCCCCUCCACCACUUUAUAGAUGAGGAAACUGAGGCUGAGAGAGAUAAGGUGGCUUGACCAAAAUCACGGUCAUAAUUCAAACUCAGGUUCUUUGACUUCAAAUCCUUCCACUGUGCUGCGCAGUCUCAG